rfam:Astyanax mexicanus Tnplaced_Scaffold4549, whole genome shotgun sequence.
GGGGGCAUAGCUCAGUGGUAGGGAGUUUGACUACAGAUCAAGAGGUCCCCGGUUCAAAUCCGGGUGCCCCUU